AUGAAUUUAAUUUCGAAAAUCUCUACUGUCAAAGGCUCUAAGUGCCAAGUAUGUGUGCAAGCUAAGCAACCACGCAAGUCCCAUAAGACUACAGAGGCAAGAGACUUGGCGCCACUAGAGCUUAUACAUUCUGAUCUUUGUGAGAUGAAUGGCGUGUUGACAAAAGGUGGAAAGAGAUACUUCAUGACGUUGGUUGAUGACUCCACUAGAUAUUAUUAUGUGUAUCUCCUGAAAUCAAAAGAUGAGGCUUUAACUUUCUUCAAAAACUAUAAAGCUGAGGCAGAGAACCAACUUGAUCGAAAAAUUAAACGACUUAGGUCCGAUCGUGGUGUAGAGUAUUUUUCCAAUGAAUUUGAUCUGUUUUGUGCGGAACAUGGUAUAAUCCAUGAGAGGACGCCUCCCUACUCACCUUAG
rnacentral:rRNA from 1 species